rnacentral:rRNA from 1 species
GAGUUUGAUCCUGGCUCAGAUUGAACGCUGGCGGCAUGCUUUACACAUGCAAGUCGAACGGCAGCACGGGUGCUUGCACCUGGUGGCGAGUGGCGAACGGGUGAGUAAUGCAUUGGAACGUACCGGGUAAUGGGGGAUAACUUGCCGAAAGGUAAGCUAAUACCGCAUACGCUCUUAGGAGGAAAGCGGGGGAUCUUCGGACCUCGCGUUAUCCGAGCGGCCAAUGUCUGAUUAGCUAGUUGGUGGGGUAAAGGCCUACCAAGGCGACGAUCAGUAGCGGGUCUGAGAGGAUGAUCCGCCACACUGGGACUGAGACACGGCCCAGACUCCUACGGGAGGCAGCAGUGGGGAAUUUUGGACAAUGGGCGCAAGCCUGAUCCAGCCAUGCCGCGUGUCUGAAGAAGGCCUUCGGGUUGUAAAGGACUUUUGUACGGGAAGAAAAAGUUGUGGCUAAUACCCAUGGCUGA